UAUAAAACAUAAAAAUAACUGUAACAUAACCUAACCUCAAUCAACUUUUUAAAAUCUUCAUAACUUUAAGCCACGACUGCAAAAUAACAUGCGACUUUUUUCUUCUUAAAAUAGAAGAUUUUUACUAUUAAAUGGCACAGAUUUCAUCUCUGUACAUUCUGGGGCACACGUCCAUACAAUUUUUGUUCAUCUCCUUUAAUAAAAAAUAAAACCG